rnacentral:tRNA from 1 species
GCCCCCGUAGCUCAGUCGGAUAGAGCAGCGGUUUCCUAAACCGUUUGUCGGCGGUUCAAUUCCGUCCGGGGGCGCCA